rnacentral:rRNA from 1 species
UACGAGGGGAGCUGCGUGUCGAAUCGACUGGGCGUAAAGGGCGCGUAGGCGGAUCUUUAAGUCGGGGGUGAAAGCCCAGGGCUCAACCCUGGAAUUGCCUUCGAUACUGGAGAUCUUGAGACCGGAAGAGGUAAGUGGAACUGCGAGUGUAGAGGUGAAAUUCGUAGAUAUUCGCAAGAACACCAGUGGCGAAGGCGGCUUACUGGUCCGGUUCUGACGCUGAGGCGCGGAAAGC